AAUAAAUUGCAAUAUUUCCUUGACCGUCGUCAGCCAUAACUUCCCUCAAUCACGUUUUUGUUUUGUGCCACGUAAUCACUGUAAAUACCAACAAGCAACAAUCAAACAGAGGAGGGACGUACUUGUCAUGAGGAUACUAUGGGUGUGGGUUUUGUGGUUGUGAUUUCGCUGCGACAAGAUGCCGCUUUGGCAGUUCGAAAGAUCAGCGACUUUGAUGUCCUCCAGGUGCAAUGAUGAUUAUUAUGAGGAAGCAGCCACUAUAGCACCAACACACCAAAGCAAGAUGGGUCGCCAGGCACCUAUGCCGGGACGAGAUCAGCCAACCCGCGUACGUGUUACGUGCAUACACUGUUGGGCGCGAAUCGGCGGGGGGAGAUCGUUCCAGCAACGCGUCGCAGCGAACCUGAAGGAGCCACGGAAUGCGACUGUUCGAUGCCUAGGUGUGGAGAAAAUGGACCCGCGACUGUUAGUCAUAUGUUUGGCAGACCGAAAACCCUGCCAAGGUCGACCAGAGUGCGAAUUUGGUACACCUGCGCACCA